CUACGGGAUGCAGCAGUGAGGAAUAUUGCACAAUGGGGGGAACCCUGAUGCAGCAACGCCGCGUGGAGGAUGACGCAUUUCGGUGUGUAAACUCCUUUUAUAUGUCAAGAAAAUGACGGUAGCAUAUGGAUAAGCACCGGCUAACUCCGUGCCAGCAGCCGCGGUAAUACGGAGGGUGCAAGCGUUACUCGGAAUCACUGGGCGUAAAGGACGCGUAGGCGGGUUGGAAAGUCAGGUGUGAAAUCCUACAGCUUAACUGUAGAACUGCACUUGAAACUUCUAAUCUAGAGUAUGGGAGGGGGAGAUGGAAUUAGUGGUGUAGGGGUAAAAUCCGUAGAUAUCACUAGGAAUACCUGAAGCGAAGGCGAUCUCCUGGAACAUUACUGACGCUAAGGCGUGAAAGCGUGGGGAGCAAACAGGAUUAGAUACCCUUGUAGUC
rnacentral:rRNA from 1 species